rnacentral:pre_miRNA from 1 species
AGUGGGAUAGCUGGGUCAAAUGGUGGUUCCAUUCCAAGUUUUCUAAGGAAUCUCCAUACUGCUUUCCAGAGUGGUUGCACCAAUUUGCAUUGCUCCCAGUGAU